rnacentral:tRNA from 2 species
GGAGAGGUGGCCGAGUGGUUGAAGGCGGCGGUCUCGAAAACCGCUGUGGGGGUAACUCCACCGGGGGUUCGAAUCCCCCCCUCUCCGC